UGGGGAAUAUUGGACAAUGGGCGCAAGCCUGAUCCAGCAAUGCCGCGUGUGUGAAGAAGGCCUUCGGGUUGUAAAGCACUUUUAUCAGGAGCGAAACGCUGUCGGCUAAUACCCGGCGGAACUGACGGUACCUGAGGAAUAAGCACCGGCUAACUUCGUGCCAGCAGCCGCGGUAAUACGAAGGGUGCAAGCGUUAAUCGGAAUUACUGGGCGUAAAGCGUGCGUAGGCGGUUUCUUAAGUCUGCUGUGAAAUCCCCGGGCUCAACCUGGGAAUGGCAGUGGAUACUGGGAGGCUAGAGUGUGUCAGAGGGUGGUGGAAUUCCCGGUGUAGCGGUGAAAUGCGUAGAGAUCGGGAGGAACAUCAGUGGCGAAGGCGGCCACCUGGGACAACACUGACGCUGAGGCACGAAAAGCGUGGGGAGCAAACAGGAUUAGAUACCCUGGUAGUCCACGCCCUAAAACGAUGCGAACUGGAUGUUGGUCUCAACUCGGAGAUCAGUGUCGAAGCUAACGCGUUAAGUUCGCCGCCUGGGGAGUACGGUCGCAAGACUGAAACUUAAAUGAAUUGACGGGGUCAUAGCUGUUUCCUG
rnacentral:rRNA from 1 species